CAACGCAGAGUUGGAGCUCAUUAGAGGCUGUCCCUUGCAGACUUGCCCUAAAAGAUCCAUCCAAUACAGGUAACAACAAAAUAUAGAACUUAUUUUCAUCAGGAGCAUCAAAAGAGUCCUCAUCAACAAGAGCAGAAUCUUCUCUUGCUUCCAAGAGAAGCAUUUGAGUUUCCAUUGGUAUCUCUCUUCCAGAUUUUCCAACACGAGGUAUCAUCCACCAUAUCUUUGCGAUAAACAGACACAAGAAUUGGUAAUCCCUGGAAUGCCAGACAAGUAAAUGAGACUAUCACGUAAUGGAAAAGGUUGACAAGAUGACAUAUUUAAUCCUUAUAAAUCAUAAUGAAUUUUACAUCUACAUUUUCAUAACGCAACAGUUUUCUUAUUUACUUGUCAAAAAGGGCUCAGACUUUGUUGCAAUUCUAAUCAAUAGUAUUUGCAACAGAAUAUUGCUCUAUACUCCUGCAAUUUAAAAACCCAAUUGACCGUAAUCAGACAAAUACUUACUCGAGAACUCCAAGACCAAAAACAUGGCGAGAUGCU
rnacentral:lncRNA from 1 species